CACUGCGACCCCGAGACCGGCUCCCUCCACUACGUCUCAGGAUCCGGUUCCCCUGCCGGACACAGAAUAUGUAUUCCAGGACAAGCGGAGUUUUCUGAGUCCCACCUCACGGAGGGGCGUGGUGCGCGGAAUCUCUAAAGGAAGACCUGGAAGGCUGCCGUCCGGCUUCCGCUUCCGGUUAGAGAGCAAGGGCUCUGGGCUUGAGCGCACUCACUGCGUGUGAGCACACAUGUUCUAGCCGGUCGUGAGGCUCUAACUGAACAUGAGAAAGGCCCCAAGCCUGUGGAGGGAGAGAAAGAAAGAGAGGAAAAAGGGAGGAAAAAAAAAAAGACAAACCGUGGUUCCAAGGCAGAGAGAGGGGAGAAAACUACACUUCUGAGGGCCGGGGGGGGGGGUGGGGAAAUGGAGAAAGAGAAGAAAAAAGAAAAGAAAAGAAGCCUUUCGGCUGGACUUACUAAAGCCGCCCUCGCCACGCCUCUCUGCCUCCUGCCCCUGCCUCACAGAGAUGACAGGAGGCUGAAGCGAGGAACUUAACCCAGCCUCUCGAAGUAGGCUCACCGCCUCCUGUUGCAGAAAAAGAGUUCAGGGUGCGGCAGCAGGCCCGGAAGGGUUCCUUAGGCAGGUGCGGGCCGCACUCGGAGAAGCCAGAUGCGGGUCAGGUGUGAAGUGGGCGCACCGGUGCCUCCCUGAAGGGGUGGAAGAGGCCCCUAGAGUGCCCCACACCCCCAGAAGGGCAUUAGCCCAUUUUACAGGACCCUGCGGAACUGGAUCUGGCUGGAAUGCAGACUCCUCUGUAAGCUUUGCAAUAAGACGAAAGUCAUCCCUGCAUGCUGAUGGCCCGAGGCCAACUGGGAUCCCUGACAAUGGACCUGGUCCAUCCUCGGCAGGGUCAGUGAGUGUUUUUGGGCAGUGAUUUUCUCCAGAUCACUGUGGUCACUGGGGUGUGGGCGAGGGGCACAGUGUUCCAUCCUGUAAUGGGUAUAGAACCAUAGCGAGGGGACGCAUGCCCUCUGCCAGAGCCAGGUGGGUGGCAUGAGGAGAAACAAGUGCCACUUAUUAAAGGUCGGUGGUGUGCCACGCAUUGUGCCAGCGGCUCCUGUGGCAGAUGAAGAAACUUAGUCUCAGAAGCUCCACAGCUCACAGCAGGACACACAGCCAGGACAUGGUGGCAUCAGGCAACAUGAACAAAAGCAAGCUCAAGUUGCUUUCACUGCGUGAUGCUAAGUCCCGGACCAGACUAUGGCCAUACUGUGGCCUGGAUACUGUUCUGGAGAAAUAAUAUUCUUGAGUAGGAGCUAGAUUGUGCCUUUAGCUUUUCCGAAGGCUUGGAAAUAAUUUAUCUUCUCUGGAAAGGCACCCAGUGCACUUAUAUGUGGAGAUGAUAGUCCCUUUGCUUGGCAGGGUAACUAAUAUGCAAUAGGAAAGUUCUUUGCUCUUCCAGUUUUAUUAUAAUAAUCAUAUCUGAAUAAUAUGACUAUUGUGAGCAUUAAAUGAGAUUUGCAUUCAUUGAAUGCAUACAGUCAAAACUCUGUAUAGUACCUAUUAUUUUUAUUGUUGUGACAGGACUUGAACUCAGAACCUUGCACUUUUGAGGCAGAUGGUGGCACCACUGAGCUAAAUCCCUG
ensembl:lincRNA